GUUAGCUCAGCAACAAUUGUCGGGUAUAUUUUCUGAACACCACAUGUUUGUCUAUUUGUCUCUAUGAGUUUUCAUUUGUCUUUUCAUUGUUUUUUCACCUUUAAAUUGGAUACAGGCCUGGUCUUAUGCUUAGACUAAUUUCCCUUGUUACAUUAUAUUCUUCAUGUUUUAUCUAUUGUGUUAGCACUAAGAUAUUUUUCUUCGUAACUUUAGCUGUAAGGAUUCAUCAUUCAUCAUUAAGGUUUUGGGUGCGUUAACCACCCGAUGCUUAACUGAAAAUGGUUUCACUAGAUAAUCAGUUGAUAACGUUCGAAGACCCUUUUUAUUUUAUUUUUUUUUUCCGUAAUUAUUAGUUUUACUUUACGUGUUGGCUCCAAGCCAGACUAUAAGGAUUAAGUGACGGAUUGGCCCGUUAAACUAAGAGCAAAUGGAAUUGUUCACAUUGUCUUUUCUUUGUUCUUAGGCCUCUCUCCCUCUGUUACUUUU
rnacentral:misc_RNA from 1 species